AACAAACAUAGGGGCCCCACAGAUUUUCUUCCAUUUACCACAAUACAUAUAUACAUAGCAAAUCAUAAAAAGGCGGGAUCGAAUUUUUUCUUGAAGAGAAGAUUACACACAGAUCUAGGGAGGUCCAUUUUUUUUCCUUCUUCUUUACUGCUUCUCCACUACGAAAAUCACUUUUUUCUCACUGAAAAAUAGAUGAACACACACACGAAAAAAUAGGUUAGACAAAUAGAGUAACAGAGAGAGAAGGCAGCGAGUGAGAGAUAAGGGUGAGAGAUUUCUUUCUUUUUCUAAUGAAUUCUCAUGGGAAAAAGCCAUAGCCGUUGUUUUUCUCCGAAGGGUCGUUACUUAUGAGUUCGCCGGAGCUCAAGCAAGACAAAAAUGAAGUCACCAGCUAAAACCAACUCAAAAACCGUGUCGUUGUUCGCAUCUAGCUUAGAUUUGGAUGUCGCCACUUCGUGGUUCACCUGUCUUUGUUUUCUUCGUGGGUUUAAAUCUAUCUGAUUGCAAUUUCUGUGUUGAUUUUGCUCAUUAUUGAGGCUUAGUUGUUCGAGGCAUUUCGGUCGGAGCUCUAAUCAAAUAUUUUGACAAAUCAAAAUAAAAAUUGAGUUUUGGAUUGUUGUUUCUCUAUCCGAGUUGGAUUCAUCGCUGUUGAGGUUCUAUUCGAGAUUCCAAAUCCAAUUUUUCUUAUUAUCAAGAAAAAUCAAUUAUUGAAAGGUUCAUUUCUUUAACUUGUCCUCUCUUUUUUAUCUUAAUUUGUUGAAUUGUCUUGUUUGAGAUUGGAUGAUUUAGGGAUUUUUGAUGUCAUUUAUGUGAAAUUUGUAUGAUUUCCAUGCUUUAAUUGUCAUUAUGUUGAUGUUGAUGAUAUUGGAUUCCAUGUCGAAAAAUUGAAUUGAUAAUCGAAGCAUGUGUUAAUCUUUGAUUGAGAAAGAAAGCUGGGGGGGAGGGGGUGAAAUUAAAAGUUGACGAAAUGGUUAGAUUUGGAUCAAUUUUGAUUGAUUGUUGGUAUGACACGUAAUAGAUUUAUGAUAUAUUGAAAUGGAUAGGCAAAUAUAGGUUCGGGUAGGCAAAUUUAGAACUUAUGUUUAGUUGAAUGUUUGAAUGUGUUGUGUGAAUGUUUCUUCCUAGUUUAUCACAUUUUAUUCAAGUGUAUUCAUUUGACCAGAGAAUGCCCCAAAGUUUCAUGUAUUUAAUCAUUGAGGAAUGCCCCGAAGUGUUUUGUAUGUGGCGGAAGAUGAUUGUGAUGAAGGCCCGAGGCAUCGGGUAAAGCAUUGGAGCAUAGUUUAGGAUUAGUCUAGAAUAGGAUUUCUAUUUUUCUAUUUUUCUAUUUUUGGACUGUAUAAUUCAGACUAUACAUUAUUUUUGUGUGUUUAUGUGGUUUUAUACAUUUUAUAAUGUCAAGUUAGCUGAUACGUUCCACUAAGCGACCGUGGUUGAAUCACGGGAUCGAGGGGUGGCUAACACCUUCCCCUCGGUCAACAAAAUUCCUUAACCGGAAUCUCUAUUCACAAACCAGUUUUAAAGAGUCAAACCAUUUUUAAA
rnacentral:lncRNA from 1 species